rnacentral:rRNA from 1 species
AACAGGGAUUGCCUCAGUAACGGCGAGUGAAGCGGCAACAGCUCAAAUUUGAAAUCUGGCUGCCUGUGCAGUCCGAGUUGUAAUUUGAAGAGGAUGCUUUUGGCAAGGUGCCUUCCGAGUUCCCUGGAAUGGGACGCCAUAGAGGGUGAGAGCCCCGUAUGGUCGGUCGCCGAGCCUCUGUAAAGCUCCUUCGACGAGUCGAGUAGUUUGGGAAUGCUGCUCAAAAUGGGAGGUAAACCCCUUCUAAAGCUAAAUAUUGGCCAGAGACCGAUAGCGCACAAGUAGAGUGAUCGAAAGAUGAAAAGCACUUUGAAAAGAGAGUUAAACAGCACGUGAAAUUGUUGAAAGGGAAGCGCUUGCGACCAGACUUGUGCUCGUCGAAUCAGCCGUCGCUCGUCGGCGGCGCAUUUCGGCGGGCUCAGGCCAGCAUCAGUUCGCUGUAGGGGGAGAAAGGCGGUAGGAAUGUGGCUCCUCGGAGUGUUAUAGCCUACCGUAUAAUACCCCUCGGCGGACUGAGGACCGCGCAUCUGCAAGGAUGCUGGCGUAAUGGUUGUCAGCGACCCGUCUUGAAACACGGACCAAGGAGUCGUCCUAAUAUGCGAGUGUUCGGGUGUAAAACCCCUACGCGUAAUGAAAGUGAACGGAGGUGAGAGCUUCGGCGCAUCAUCGACCGAUCCUGAUGUUCUCGGAUGGAUUUGAGUAUGAGCAUAUUGGGCCGGACCCGAAAGAAGGUGAACUAUGCCUGUAUAGGGUAAAGCCAGAGGAAACUCUGGUGGAGGCUCGCAGCGGUUCUGACGUGCAAAUCGAUCGUCAAAUAUGGGCAUGGGGCGAAAGACUAAUCGAACCUUCUAGUAGCU